ensembl:lncRNA MEF2C-AS1 MEF2C antisense RNA 1
GCCAAUUGGCUGUAUCACAUGGAAGUUGUACCCGUCAGCACCUGCUGAGGGCUUUGUUGUCCAAACCCUGACAGGUAAAAAAAUUCCUGCAGAAUAAAGCCAGACCAGCUGGCUUUGAAGAGAAACCCCCCAGUUUGGGCUGCGUUUGCCUCCUCUCCUUUUCUAUGAAGACCGAGGCUUUGCCCCCUUGAUCGUCAAGCCGUGAGAUGCGUGAUCUCUCUGCACAAGUGUCUGGCAGGCCGAGGGCACCACUUUCAGAUAAAAACAUAGACCUGAAUGGCAUCAUCCAGUAUCCAAGGAAACCAUGUUCUCUAAACAUGAAUAUGCCUUUGGGGGAAGACAGAAGAACAUGGAAGCCAUGU